rnacentral:rRNA from 1 species
AUGAACGCUAGCUACAGGCUUAACACAUGCAAGUCGAGGGGCAGCAUUUCAGUUUGCUUGCAAACUGGAGAUGGCGACCGGCGCACGGGUGAGUAACACGUAUCCAACCUGCCGAUAACUCGGGGAUAGCCUUUCGAAAGAAAGAUUAAUACCCGAUGGCAUAAUUAGACCGCAUGGUCUUAUUAUUAAAGAAUUUCGGUUAUCGAUGGGGAUGCGUUCCAUUAGGCAGUUGGUGAGGUAACGGCUCACCAAACCUUCGAUGGAUAGGGGUUCUGAGAGGAAGGUCCCCCACAUUGGAACUGAGACACGGUCCAAACUCCUACGGGAGGCAGCAGUGAGGAAUAUUGGUCAAUGGGCGCAGGCCUGAACCAGCCAAGUAGCGUGAAGGAUGACUGCCCUAUGGGUUGUAAACUUCUUUUAUAUGGGAAUAAAGUUUUCCACGUGUGGAAUUUUGUAUGUACCAUAUGAAUAAGGAUCGGCUAACUCCGUGCCAGCAGCCGCGGUAAUACGGAGGAUCCGAGCGUUAUCCGGAUUUAUUGGGUUUAAAGGGAGCGUAGGUGGACAGUUAAGUCAGUUGUGAAAGUUUGCGGCUCAACCGUAAAAUUGCAGUUGAUACUGGCUGUCUUGAGUACAGUAGAGGUGGGCGGAAUUCGUGGUGUAGCGGUGAAAUGCUUAGAUAUCACGAAGAACUCCGAUUGCGAAGGCAGCUCACUGGACUGCAACUGACACUGAUGCUCGAAAGUGUGGGUAUCAAACAGGAUUAGAUACCCUGGUAGUCCACACAGUAAACGAUGAAUACUCGCUGUUUGCGAUAUACAGUAAGCGGCCAAGCGAAAGCAUUAAGUAUUCCACCUGGGGAGUACGCCGGCAACGGUGAAACUCAAAGGAAUUGACGGGGGCCCGCACAAGCGGAGGAACAUGUGGUUUAAUUCGAUGAUACGCGAGGAACCUUACCCGGGCUUAAAUUGCAUUUGAAUAUAUUGGAAACAGUAUAGCCGUAAGGCAAAUGUGAAGGUGCUGCAUGGUUGUCGUCAGCUCGUGCCGUGAGGUGUCGGCUUAAGUGCCAUAACGAGCGCAACCCUUAUCUUUAGUUACUAACAGGUCAUGCUGAGGACUCUAGAGAGACUGCCGUCGUAAGAUGUGAGGAAGGUGGGGAUGACGUCAAAUCAGCACGGCCCUUACGUCCGGGGCUACACACGUGUUACAAUGGGGGGUACAGAAGGCAGCUACCUGGUGACAGGAUGCUAAUCCCAAAAGCCUCUCUCAGUUCGGAUCGAAGUCUGCAACCCGACUUCGUGAAGCUGGAUUCGCUAGUAAUCGCGCAUCAGCCAUGGCGCGGUGAAUACGUUCCCGGGCCUUGUACACACCGCCCGUCAAGCCAUGAAAGCCGGGGGUACCUGAAGUACGUAACCGCAAGGAGCGUCCUAGGGUAAAACUGGUAAUUGGGGCU